rnacentral:rRNA from 1 species
UUGGAGGGCAAGUCUGGUGCCAGCAGCCGCGGUAAUUCCAGCUCCAAUAGCGUAUAUUAAAGUUGUUGCAGUUAAAAAGCUCGUAGUUGAGCUUCGGGGUCCACCCAUCGGUCAGGCUUAAUUAUCUGUACUGGUGAGAUGGAUCCCUACCUUCUGAGGAACUUUCAUGUCAUUUAUUUGGUGUGAUGGGAAAUCAGGACUGUUACUUUGAAAAAAUUAGAGUGUUUAAAGCAGGC